rnacentral:rRNA from 1 species
UACGGAAGGCAGCAGUGGGGAAUAUUGCACAAUGGGCGCAAGCCUGAUGCAGCCAUGCCGCGUGUAUGAAGAAGGCCUUCGGGUUGUAAAGUACUUUCAGUCGUGAGGAAGGUGUUAAGGUUAAUAACCUUAGCAAUUGACGUUAGCGACAGAAGAAGCACCGGCUAACUCCGUGCCAGCAGCCGCGGUAAUACGGAGGGUGCGAGCGUUAAUCGGAAUUACUGGGCGUAAAGGGCACGCAGGCGGUUAAUUAAGUUGGAUGUGAAAUCCCCGGGCUUAACCUGGGAAUGGCAUUCAAGACUGGUUAGCUAGAGUCUUGUAGAGGGGGUAGAAUUCCAUGUGUAGCGGUGAAAUGCGUAGAGAUGUGGAGGAAUACCGGGUGGCGAAGGCGGCCCCUGGGACAAAGACUGACGCUCAUGUGCGAAAGCUGGGGAGCAAACGAGGAUUAGAUACC